rnacentral:rRNA from 1 species
AUUGAACGCUGGCGGCAGGCCUAACACAUGCAAGUCGAGCGGAUGAAGGGAGCUUGCUCCUGGAUUCAGCGGCGGACGGGUGAGUAAUGCCUAGGAAUCUGCCUGGUAGUGGGGGAUAACGUCCGGAAACGGGCGCUAAUACCGCAUACGUCCUGAGGGAGAAAGUGGGGGAUCUUCGGACCUCAUGCUAUCAGAUGAGCCUAGGUCGGAUUAGCUAGUUGGUGGGGUAAAGGCCUACCAAGGCGACGAUCCGUAACUGGUCUGAGAGGAUGAUCAGUCACACUGGAACUAAGACACGGUCCAGACUCCUACGGGAGGCACCAGUGGGGAAUAUUGGACGAUGGGCGAAAGCCUGAUCCAGCCAUGCCGCGUGUGUGUAGAAGGUCUUCGGAUUGUAAAGCACUUUAAGUUGGGAGGAAGGGCAGUAAGUUAAUACCUUGCUGUUUUGACGUUACCAACAGAAUAAGCACCGGCUAACUUCGUG